GCAUUUUGCUCAGUUGGUAGAGUACGAGACUCUUAAUCUCAGGGUCAUGGGUCUGAGCCCCACAUUGGGCA
rnacentral:tRNA from 1 species